UACGUAGGGGGCAAGCGUUGUCCGGAAUCAUUGGGCGUAAAGCGCGUGUAGGCGGCUCGGUAAGUCUGCUGUGAAAGUCCAGGGCUCAACCCUGGGAUGCCGGUGGAUACUGUCGAGCUCGAGUCCGGAAGAGGCGAGUGGAAUUCCUGGUGUAGCGGUGAAAUGCGCAGAUAUCAGGAGGAACACCGAUGGCGAAGGCAGACUCGCUGGGACGUGACUGACGCUGAGACGCGAAAGCGUGGGGAGCAAACAGG
rnacentral:rRNA from 1 species